rnacentral:rRNA from 1 species
AUUGAACGCUGGCGGCAGGCCUAACACAUGCAAGUCGAGCGGCAGCGGGUCCUUCGGGAUGCCGGCGAGCGGCGGACGGGUGAGUAAUGCCUAGGAAUCUGCCUGGUAGUGGGGGAUAACGUUCGGAAACGGACGCUAAUACCGCAUACGUCCUACGGGAGAAAGUGGGGGAUCUUCGGACCUCACGCUAUCAGAUGAGCCUAGGUCGGAUUAGCUAGUUGGUGGGGUAAAGGCUCACCAAGGCGACGAUCCGUAACUGGUCUGAGAGGAUGAUCAGUCACACUGGAACUGAGACACGGUCCAGACUCCUACGGGAGGCAGCAGUGGGGAAUAUUGGACAAUGGGCGAAAGCCUGAUCCAGCCAUGCCGCGUAUGUGAAGAAGGUCUUCGGAUUGUAAAGCACUUUAAGUUGGGAGGAAGGGCAGCUAGUUAAUACCUGGUUGUUUUGACGUUACCAACAGAAUAGGCACCGGCUAACUUCGUGCCAGCAGCCGCGGUAAAAC